rnacentral:rRNA from 1 species
CAACAGGGAUUGCCUCAGUAACGGCGAGUGAAGCGGCAACAGCUCAAAUUUGAAAUCUGGCGGCCUCUGGGCCGUCCGAGUUGUAAUUUGAAGAGGAUGCUUUUGGCGAGGCGCCUUCCGAGUGCCCUGGAACGGGACGCCACAGAGGGUGAGAGCCCCGUAUGGUUGGACGCCGAGCCUCUGUAAAGCUCCUUCGACGAGUCGAGUAGUUUGGGAAUGCUGCUCAAAAUGGGAGGUAAACCCCUUCUAAAGCUAAAUACUGGCCAGAGACCGAUAGCGCACAAGUAGAGUGAUCGAAAGAUGAAAAGCACUUUGAAAAGAGAGUUAAAUAGCACGUGAAAUUGUUGAAAGGGAAGCGCUUGCGACCAGACUUGUGCCCGUCGAAUCAGCCGCCGCUCGCCGGCGGCGCACUUCGGCGGGCUCAGGCCAGCAUCAGUUCGCUGCAGGGGGAGAAAGGCGGCGGGAAUGUGGCUCUUCGGAGUGUUAUAGCCCGCCGCGCAAUACCCCUCGGCGGACUGAGGACCGCGCAUCUGCAAGGAUGCUGGCGUAAUGGUCGUCAGCGACCCGUCUUGAAACACGGACCAAGGAGUCGUCCUAAUAUGCGAGUGUUCGGGUGUAAAACCCCUGCGCGUAAUGAAAGUGAACGGAGGUGAGAGCUUCGGCGCAUCAUCGACCGAUCCUGAUGUUCUCGGAUGGAUUUGAGUAAGAGCAUAUUGGGCCGGACCCGAAAGAAGGUGAACUAUGCCUGUAUAGGGUAAAGCCAGAGGAAACUCUGGUGGAGGCUCGCAGCGGUUCUGACGUGCAAAUCGAUCGUCAAAUAUGGGCAUGGGGGCGAAAGACUAAUCG